rnacentral:rRNA from 1 species
CGCCCCCGCCCGAGAGUUUGAUCCUGGCUCAGGAUGAACGUUGGCGGUGUGCCUAAUACAUGCAAGUCGAACGGAGUUAAUAGCAAUAUUGACUUAGUGGCGAACAGGUGAGUAACGCGUUGGUGAUCUGCCUCGAAGUGUGGAAUAACGUUCCGAAAGGAACGCUAAUACCGCAUGUGCUCUCGAUUUUUAGAAAGUUGAGAGUAAAGGAUUUAUUCGCUUCGAGAGGAGCCUGCGUCCCAUCAGCUGGUUGGUAGGGUAACGGCCUACCAAGGCUAUGACGGGUAGGGGACCUGAGAGGGUGGCCCCCCACAAUGGAACUGAAACACGGUCCAUACACCUACGGGUGGCAGCAGUAGGGAAUAUUAGAAAUGGACGAAAGUCUGAUCUAGCAACACCGCGUGUGCGAAGAAGGCCUUCGGGUCGUAAAGCACUUUUUGGAAGGAAUAGGAAGGAAUGUACUUCCAGAAUAAGUCUCGGCUAACUACGUGCCGGCAGCCGCGGUAACACGUAGGAGGCGAACGUUAUCCGGAUUUACUGGGCGUAAAGCGCGUGCAGGUGGUUCUGUAAGUAGGGCGUGAAAGCUCCCGGCUCAACUGGGAGAGGCCGUUCUAAACUGUAGAACUAGAGGAUGGUAGAGGGAGGUGGAAUUCCAGGUGUAGCGGUGGAAUGCGCAGAUAUCUGGAGGAACACCAGUGGCGAAGGCGGCCUCCUGGACCAUUCCUGACACUCAGACGCGAAAGCUAGGGUAGCAAACGGGAUUAGAGACCCCGGUAGUCCUAGCCCUAAACGAUGUAGACUAGGCGUCGGUGGUUUAAUCACCAUCGGUGUCCAAGCUAACGCGAUAAGUCUACCGCCUGGGGACUACGGCCGCAAGGUUAAAACUCAAAGGAAUCUUUCUAGAA